GACGUAAGUGGCGAGCGUUGUUCGGAAUUACUGGGCAUAAAGCGCACGUAGGCGGCUAGGUCAGUCGGAUGUGAAAUACCUCGGCUCAACCGAGGAACUGCGUCCGAUACUGCCUGGCUUGAGGUCCGGAGGGGAGAGUGGAAUUCCCGGUGGAGCGGUGAAAUGCGCGAGAUAUCGGGAGGAACACCAAUGGCGAAGGCAGCUCGCUGGGACGGUACUGACGCUGAGACGGCGAAAGCGUGGGGAGCAAACAGG
rnacentral:rRNA from 1 species